GAUGAAGAACGCAGCGAAAUGCGAUACUUGGUGUGAAUUGCAGAAUCCCGUGAACCAUCGAGUCUUUGAACGCAAGUUGCGCCCGAAGCCAUCAGGUUGAGGGCACGUCUGCCUGGGCGUCACAUAUCGUUGCCCAAUGCCUAUUGCAGUGCAAUAGGAAUUUCUAGGGCGAAUGAUGGCUUCCCGUGAGCGUUGUUGCCUCGCGGUUGGUUGAAAAUCGAGUCCUUGGUAGGGUGUGCCAUGGUAGAUGGUGGUCGAGUUAGAACGAUACCGAUCAUGUGCAUGCUCCCCAAAAUAUGGCCUCUAUGACCCACACGCGUCUUUUGACGCUCAUGACGAGACCUCAGGUCAGGCGGGGCUACCCGCUGAAUUUAAGCAUAUCAAUAAGCGGAGGA
rnacentral:misc_RNA from 1 species